UGCCCACUGGCAAUGGGCAAAGAUAUACCUUAUAGGUGGUGUUUUCUUUAUAUCAGCCAGGGGCAGAGCAGAUGAAGCCCUUUGUUCAUCCUAUCUUGAUGCCUGGCUUAGUGGCCAAAGCUCUCUUGGGCCUAGGACUCGUAA